rnacentral:rRNA from 1 species
CGGACGGGUGAGUAACGCGUGAGAAUCUGGCUCUAGGUCUGGGACAACCACUGGAAACGGUGGCUAAUACCGGAUGUGCCGAGAGGUGAAAGGUUAACUGCCUAGAGAUGAGCUCGCGUCUGAUUAGCUAGUUGGAAGUGUAAUGGACUCCCAAGGCGACGAUCAGUAGCUGGUCUGAGAGGACGAUCAGCCACACUGGGACUGAGACACGGCCCAGACUCCUACGGGAGGCAGCAGUGGGGAAUUUUCCGCAAUGGGCGAAAGCCUGACGGAGCAAUACCGCGUGAGGGAGGAAGGCUCUUGGGUCGUAAACCUCUUUCCUCAGGGAAGAACACAAUGACGGUACCUGAGGAAUAAGCAUCGGCUAACUCCGUGCCAGCAGCCGCGGUAAUACGGAGGAUGCAAGCGUUAUCCGGAAUGAUUGGGCGUAAAGCGUCCGCAGGUGGCAAUGUAAGUCUGCUGUUAAAGAGUCUAGCUCAACUAGAUAAGAGCAGUGGAAACUACAUAGCUAGAGUACGUUCGGGGCAGAGGGAAUUCCUGGUGUAGCGGUGAAAUGCGUAGAGAUCAGGAAGAACACCAGUGGCGAAGGCGCUCUGCUAGGCCGUAACUGACACUGAGGGACGAAAGCUAGGGGAGCGAAUGGGAUUAGAUACCCCAGUAGUC